UACGUAGGGUGCGAGCGUUAAUCGGAAUUACUGGGCGUAAAGCGUGCGCAGGCGGUUUUGUAAGCCCGAUGUGAAAUCCCCGGGCUUAACCUGGGAAUGGCAUUUGGGACUGCAAGGCUGGAGUGUGGCAGAGGAGACUGGAAUUCCUGGUGUAGCAGUGAAAUGCGUAGAUAUCAGGAGGAACACCGGUGGCGAAGGCGGGUCUCUGGGGCGAUACUGACGCUGAGGAGCGAAAGCGUGGGGAGCAAACAGG
rnacentral:rRNA from 1 species